rnacentral:rRNA from 1 species
AUUGAACGCUGGCGGCAUGCUUUACACAUGCAAGUCGAACGGCAGCGCGGGGCAACCUGGCGGCGAGUGGCGAACGGGUGAGUAAUACAUCGGAACGUACCCAGAAGUGGGGGAUAACGUAGCGAAAGUUACGCUAAUACCGCAUACGUUCUACGGAAGAAAGUGGGGGACCUUCGGGCCUCAUGCUUUUGGAGCGGCCGAUGUCUGAUUAGCUAGUUGGUGAGGUAAAGGCUCACCAAGGCGACGAUCAGUAGCUGGUCUGAGAGGACGACCAGCCACACUGGGACUGAGACACGGCCCAGACUCCUACGGUAGGCAGCAGUGGGGAAUUUUGGACAAUGGGCGCAAGCCUGAUCCAGCAAUGCCGCGUGAGUGAAGAAGGCCUUCGGGUUGUAAAGCUCUUUUGUCAGGGAAGAAACGGCUGAGGAUAAUACCUUCGGCUAAUGACGGUACCUGAAGAAUAAGCACCGGCUAACUACGUG